GUAGAUAAAACCUAAGUUGCAAUUCCGGUUUUCCUCAAAAUCUAAGACAUGUCACAAAAUAAUUUACUGCCUUUGUUGAUCUCGCUCCUGUAACAAGCUUCCUGCCUCACGUAUCUCCCGCCUUAAAGAGUUUAAAAGGCAAUCACCCAAAACCAACCGUGGCUACCCAUUCAAGACUGUUUCCACACUGUGGAAGCUUUGUACUUUCACUCUGCUCAAUAAAGCCUGCAGCUUUUUCUCACUCUCAGUCCAUGUCUCUUUCACUCACUGUGGUCAGCUUCCACACCAUUUCUUUGGUGUGGCUUGGCAAGAACCUCAGGUGUUACAUCUUGGCGAGCCAGACAGGAGACUCCAGAAAAGGUAUCUAGAUCAUCAUGCAGAUCAAAGCCAUCAAGCUACAAAUGAUCUUACAAAUGGAACCUCAAAUGAGCUCAGCUCACGGCUUCUACCGAGGACCCCUGGAUCAACCCGCUGGUCCCUCAAUUACCCUAGAAAAUUCCCCUCUGGAGGACACCAAACUGCAGGGCCCCUUCUUCACCCCUAACCAGCAGGAAGUAGCCAGAACGACUGCCACACGGUUCCCAACAGCAGUUGGGGUGUCCUGUUUAGAGGCAGGACUGAGAGGAGGUGCCAGCUGGGCUUCCUGGGUCAAGUAGGGGCUCAGAAAGCUGUGAAACUCACUCAUUUCCUGCAUCAGGACUUACUUCAGUCCUGGAUGAAUAAUAUUGAAGAUAUACGCUUAAAAUAUUCCUAACACCAGGAUUCGUGCAUGUGUUUUCUUCCCCAAGAAAGCUAUAAACAGUGAAAAAUUUGCUGUAAGUUUCCCUGUAUCUUCUCUCCCUCUCUCCCUUCCCCCGCCCCUGAAACUAAAAUAAAGGAAUGUUAACUGCUCAUUUUUCUGUGACCAGUGGACCUUAUCUACACUCCCAAUUCAGAUUCCUUGUAAACAUACUUUGUAAAGUCCUGUAAGAUCCUGUCUCCUUUGCCAUGCUGCUGCAAGGUCCUAAAGUAGAUAAAACCUAAGUUGCAAUUCCGGUUUUCCUCAAAAUCUAAGACAUGUCACAAAAUAAUUUACUGCCUUUGUUUCCGGCUCCUGUAACAAGCUUCCCACCUCAUGUAUCUCCCGCUUUAAAGAGUUUAAAAGGCAAUCACCCAAAACCAACAGUGGCUACCCGUUCAGGACCCCUCCCAUGCUGUGGAAGCUUUGUACUUUCACUCUGCUUAAUAAAGCUUACAGUUUUUU
rnacentral:lncRNA from 1 species